rnacentral:rRNA from 1 species
UACAGAGGUCCCAAGCGUUGUUCGGAUUCACUGGGCGUAAAGGGCGCGUAGGCGGUGCGGUAAGUCUGCAGUGAAAUCUCUGGGCUCAACUCAGAGUCUGCUGUAGAAACUGCCGUGCUUGAGUGUGGGAGAGGUGAGUGGAAUUCCCGGUGUAGCGGUGAAAUUCGUAGAUAUCGGGAGGAACACCAGUGGCGAAGGCGGCGAUCUGGGGAAGAUACUGACGCUGAGGUGCGAAAGCGUGGGGAGCAAACAGGG